AGAUUCUCGAGCUGGAGGAGGCCAUCGCGUGGAUGAUGGUCAUCCAUGUCACCGGGACCAAAGGGAAGGUGAAUCACGAGAUAACAUUUGGUGCCAAGGAUUCGGGAAGGUGAACUAAUACCAAGAACCAUGUCGCCGGAUGAUUCCGGAAGAGAUGGUCCUGAUAGUCGAGAUAAACGGUGCAUUGGGUGAACUUGUUACUACAGGAUUUCCACAUUCAUUCUAUCCCAUUACUCAUUUGCUUCCCGCUCGCCGCGGGAGCCGCUGGAGCCGGAGCCGCCCGCCCCGCAACGCCGCCACGGGGUUGAGAUCGUAUGGUGAUGUACUGGUGGCCCUGGAGACAUACAAGAUCGAUGAGAGAUGCUCAGAACAUCCAUACAUGUGUACGAUGACUAUGCCGCAGAGGACGAUGAGCAUGAGGAAAAGCUGAAGAAGGAAAUGUUUGUGUUGUUCGUCUUAGCUACUUGCAUGAGCUCUCACCUUUUUGAUUCAUAGAAUGAUGAACUGACCACGAUGAUCUCACGCUGCUUUGAUUUGUAGAUUGACGACUUCCCCACAUAUUAUGGUUCGUAGGUUGCUGAAUCACCCUUUUUGUUGCUUGCGCCUUAAUUCGGUAAUCCAUCUACUAGCCUUUUGUUGAACAACACAAGUGAAAUGUAUGCAAGUACACAAUUUAUUUUAGGUUCGAAAGGCACUUAAGAGUUAAGACACUAGCUAUAAACCUACCAACAAGGGGAAUGUUUAUGUGUCUGUGUGCAGUGUCCUUCUAAUCGGUGGGGGUUAUAAAGUGUGGUUGUGGGCACUU